GAUGAACGCUGGCGGCGUGCCUAAUACAUGCAAGUCGAGCGAACAGACGAGGAGCUUGCUCCUCUGACGUUAGCGGCGGACGGGUGAGUAACACGUGGAUAACCUACCUAUAAGACUGGGAUAACUUCGGGAAACCGGAGCUAAUACCGGAUAAUAUAUUGAACCGCAUGGCUCAAUAGUGAAAGACGGUUUUGCUGUCACUUAUAGAUGGAUCCCCGCCGCAUUAGUUAGUUGGUAAGGUAACGGCUUACCAAGGCAACGAUGCUUAGCCGACCUGAGAGGGUGUUCGGCCACACUGGACCUGAGACCCGGUCCAGACUCCUACGGGAGGCAGCAGUAGGGAAUCUCCCGCAAUGGGCGAAAGCUUGACGGAGCAACGCCGCGUGGGUGAUGAAGGUCUUCGGAUCUUAAACCUCUGUUAUUAGGGAAGACCAAGUGUGUAAUUAACUAUGCACGUCUUGACGGUACCUACUCAGAAAGCCACGGCUAACUACGUG
rnacentral:rRNA from 1 species